UACGUAGGGGGCAAGCGUUGUUCGGAAUUACUGGGCGUAAAGGGCGCGUAGGCGGCACGGCAAGUCGGGAGUGAAAGGCCUGGGCUCAACCGAGGAACUGCUUUCGAGACUGCCGAGCUAGAGUGCGGAAGGGGCAACUGGAAUUCCCAGUGUAGCGGUGAAAUGCGUAGAUAUCGGAAGGAACACCAGUGGCGAAAGCGGCUUCCUGGUCCAGCACCGACGUCAGGCACGAAAGCGUGGGGAGCAAACAGG
rnacentral:rRNA from 1 species